UGGGGAAUUUUGGACAAUGGGCGAAAGCCUGAUCCAGCAAUGCCGCGUGUGUGAAGAAGGCCUUCGGGUUGUAAAGCACUUUUGUCCGGAAAGAAAUGGCUCUGGUUAAUACCUGGGGUCGAUGACGGUACCGGAAGAAUAAGGACCGGCUAACUACGUGCCAGCAGCCGCGGUAAUACGUAGGGUCCAAGCGUUAAUCGGAAUUACUGGGCGUAAAGCGUGCGCAGGCGGUUGUGCAAGACCGAUGUGAAAUCCCCGAGCUUAACUUGGGAAUUGCAUUGGUGACUGCACGGCUAGAGUGUGUCAGAGGGGGGUAGAAUUCCACGUGUAGCAGUGAAAUGCGUAGAGAUGUGGAGGAAUACCGAUGGCGAAGGCAGCCCCCUGGGAUAACACUGACGCUCAUGCACGAAAGCGUGGGAAGCAAACAGG
rnacentral:rRNA from 1 species